rnacentral:rRNA from 1 species
UUGUUUGGAGAGUUUGAUUCUGGCUCAGGACGAACGCUGGCGGCGUGCUUAACACAUGCAAGUCGAACGGAAAGGC